CUAUGUAAAAUCCCUGGUCCUAAAUAUGUGAUAGCGAAUGGCUACUCUAGUGUUUGGGUGUGUAUAUCCUAUCUCUUAAUUAUUGGAGCAUAAAAUCAGCAGAAUCAAAUCUAAUUGUGAAGAUGAGUUUGACCAGGAGAUAUAUUUUCUUACAUUUCUGUACUUCGGGUUUGGAUUUUUCUCUUCCAAAACGAAAACAGCCGCAACUUAUUUUUAGAAUCCCUAACUACUGUAAGAGAGAGUUGGAAGAAGGAAGGGAUCGAUACAAAGACGAACGGUAAAACAUUUUUGAAGGAUUUAUACUUCCUGCGAAUCAGGAGACCGUGACCAUGGAACAACCUAGCUUGUAGAUUGUGUUUCAGUUCUGAAAACCUACUUCGUCAUUAUUGCAAGGUGUUCAAUUAGCUAAAUGUUUUAUUAUUUUUCUUUAACACCAGACUUUUAUUGCUUUUAAAUAAAUUCUUCAUUUACUUUGGGACCGACUUGCGUCGAGGAUUAAUUUCAUUUUAAAAGUUUUACAAAACUUCACAUUA